GAGUUUGAUCCUGGCUCAGGAUGAACGCUAGCGGCAGGCCUAAUACAUGCAAGUCGAACGGUAAGGUCUCUUCGGAGAUACACGAGUACACGAGUGGCGCACGGGUGAGUAACGCGUAUGCAACCUACCUUUAACUGGAGGAUAGCCCCGAGAAAUCGGGAUUAAUACUUCAUAAUAAUAUAAAACGACAUCGUUUAAUAUUUAAAGCUCCGGCGGUUAAAGAUGGGCAUGCGUGACAUUAGAUAGUUGGUGAGGUAACGGCUCACCAAGUCCACGAUGUCUAGGGGUUCUGAGAGGAUUAUCCCCCACACUGGUACUGAGACACGGACCAGACUCCUACGGGAGGCAGCAGUAAGGAAUAUUGGUCAAUGGACGAAAGUCUGAACCAGCCAUGCCGCGUGCAGGAUGACAGCCCUAUGGGUCGUAAACUGCUUUUAUAAGAGAAGAAACCUUCGGACGUGUCCGAGGCUGACGGUAUCUUAUGAAUAAGCACCGGCUAACUCCGUGCCAGCAGCCGCGGUAAUACGGAGGGUGCGAGCGUUAUCCGGAUUUAUUGGGUUUAAAGGGUGCGCAGGCGGACUAUUAAGUCAGUGGUGAAAUCUCUCGGCUCAACCGAGAAACUGCCAUUGAAACUGAUAGCCUUGAGUAUAGUUGUAGUAGGCGGAAUAUAGCAUGUAGCGGUGAAAUGCUUAGAUAUGCUAUAGAACACCGAUCGCGAAGGCAGCUUACUAAACUAUUACUGACGCUCAUGCACGAAAGCGUGGGGAGCAAACAGGAUUAGAUACCCUGGUAGUCCACGCCGUAAACGAUGAUUACUCGAUGUUGGCAAUUAGGUCAGUGUCCAAGCGAAAGUAUUAAGUGAUCCACCUGGGGAGUACGACCGCAAGGUUGAAACUCAAAGGAAUUGACGGGGGCCCGCACAAGCGGUGGAGCAUGUGGUUUAAUUCGAUGAUACGCGAGGAACCUUACCAGGGUUUAAAUGCAGAACGAUCGGGGUGGAAACACCCUUUCCUUCGGGCGAUCUGCAAGGUGCUGCAUGGUUGUCGUCAGCUCGUGCCGUGAGGUGUCGGGUUAAGUCCCAUAACGAGCGCAACCCCUAUCUUUAGUUGCCAGCGGAUAAUGCCGGGGACUCUAAAGAAACUGCCAGCGUAAGCUGUGAGGAAGGUGGGGAUGACGUCAAAUCAUCACGGCCCUUACAUCCUGGGCUACACACGUGCUACAAUGGUGGAGACAGUGAGCAGCAAACCGGUGACGGUGAGCCAAUCUUCAAACUCCAUCUCAGUUCGGAUCGAAGUCUGCAACUCGACUUCGUGAAGUUGGAAUCGCUAGUAAUCGCAUAUCAGCCAUGAUGCGGUGAAUACGUUCCCGGGCCUUGUACACACCGCCCGUCAAGCCAUGGAAGCUGGGAGUGCCUGAAGUCGGUUACCGUAAGGAUCCGCCUAGGGCAAAAUCAGUAACUGGGGCUAAGUCGUAACAAGGUAGCCGGU
rnacentral:rRNA from 1 species